rnacentral:misc_RNA from 1 species
GUUUCUUUGGCAAGUUGUAUUUCUUCUUUAGAAACUUAGAAGCAAUUUUAUCAUUUCGAUAACACAGAACACGCAUAAUGGUGCUGAGCUCAGUUGGACUCCAGUUACCUGAUGUAGGAGGCAAGGGAAGUCUGGAUUUAGCUGAAGUGCCAAAAUUAUCUUCAGUGGCAUGUUCAAGUUGCUCAAUCAGAAUAGCGGUAUCAGUAUGGAAAAGAGGAAGAAUGCCUUUCAAAGUAGCUGAAUACUUGUCUAUAAGGUCAGUCGGUAACCCAUCCCCAUCAGACCAGAAUAGAUCCAUUAGGAACUUUAAAUCUUCAUCUAUAAUUGCAGCAUCAGCAAGUGAAAAAGCACGACAAGGUCCUCCAGCCAACAAAAUCAACAAGAAUCCAUCAAAAGAGGCUUUCAUUACAUUAGUGAUAGCACGUGUCCGGACCCUGUCAUGAACUGUUGCCGAUAUGAUCUCAAGGUUAUUCUCCAGCUCCUGGAGGAAAGGUUCAAUCCGGGAUGAUGAAACAUCUGCUACAUAUAGAUAAUCCCAGAAGAUAUGCCUCAACUCAUGGAAGAUGAUUUUAUAUGAAAUUGCUUCAGAAAGCUGCUGGAUCCCUUCCAAACAAGAAGCUACUGACAGCUCAAAACAUUUGCCCAACCCAUCAACAAUAUUAUCAUCAUGAAC